rnacentral:rRNA from 1 species
UGCGCAGGUGGGCUUGUAAGUCGGUGGUGAAAUCUUGCCGCUUAACGGUAAAAUUGCCAUUGAUACUGCAAGUCUUGAGUAUGGUUGAGGUAGGUGGAAUGUGUUGUGUAGCGGUGAAAUGCAUAGAUAUGACACAGAACGCCGAUUGCGAAGGCAACUUACUAAGCCAUUACUGACGCUGAGGCACGAAAGCGUGGGGAGCGAACAGGAUUAGAUACCCUGGUAGUC